GAAGGGGCCAGGGUGGUGGUUUUAACAUAAUAGGGUAAGAAAUACAUGAUUGUGUUCCUGACACUAUAGUGCUCCUUUAAGCAAGAGUAUGUGAAGAGUAGUUAAGGUUGCCACCUUUCUUGGAAAAAAAUACCAGCCUUAAUCAUUUGUAUAAUUAAUUAGUUAUGUGUGACAUCACAUGAUGUAAAUCACAAGGAGUGACAUCAGAGAAAAUUCUGUAAAAUCACCAACAAACUACUCACAGUUUGAUUCUGCUGUAUAGAUGGAUUGCUCCCAGUGUCUCACUGUCUCCCAGUGUCUCAGUCUCGUAAGUCACCCUGUGUCUCAGUGUCCCUAUGUAUCACAGUGUCAGUGUCCCCAUCUCGCCCAGUCCCCUAGUCUCCCAGUGUCUGUGUCCCCAUUUCUCCCAGUGUCCCAAUGUUUCAGUGUGUCCCCAUGUCACUAGGAUACUGGGAGACCCGGGGACACAGAGACAUGGAGACACUGGGAGACAUGGGGACACUGAGACAUUUAGGGAAACUGGGAGAAAUGGGGACACUGAGACACUAGGGACACAGACACUGGGAGACAUGGGGACACUGAAACAUUUGGGGACACUAAGACACUAGGGACAAAGACAUGGGAACACAGACAUUGGGAGACUAGGGACCACUGGCUGGGAGACAGACACUUGAGGACACUGGGAGACAUGGGGACAGUUGUGGACAUAGACAUGUGGACACUGGGACAUAUAGGGACACUGGGAGACAUGGGGACACCAGGCACACUAAGACACUAAGAACACAGACACUGGGAGACAUGGAGACACUGAAACAUUUGGGGACACUAAGACACUAGGGACACAGACACUGGGAGACUAGGGGACACUGGGAGAUUAGGGGAUACUGGGAAACUAGGGGACACUGGCUGGGAGACAGACACUUGGGGAGACAUGGGGACAGUUGUGGACA